rnacentral:lncRNA from 1 species
UGAAGAUGAACCUAGCAGUAGUAUUUACACCACUUGUUGUGUGCCCACUGUGGGCCCGGCGCCAUGCCGAGUGCUCUAUGGAUGUGAGAGAAACGGAGGCCCAGAAAGCAGAAAUGAUGUGUUAAGAUCACUCAUCAAGCUGAUGGUACAGAGAUGAGAACACUGAAGCAGUUUUUUCUAAAGAUAGCUGCCUGGCACAGUGGCUCACAUCUGUAGUCCCAGCAUUUGGGGAGGCCAAGGCAGGUGGAUCACUUGAGGCCAGGAAUUCAAGACCAGCAUGGCCAACAUGUUUUCCAUCCUUCCUUCAGUGCUGGGAGAGAAAAGCAUACGACAUAGACAGGGAGGUCAAGCUCCACCACGCAGAUGAGGUGCAGGCCACCAGUCUUCCUCUGCCACAUCUCUUUCUGAAAAGGCAGCCUGUGCUGAGAAACCAUGACUGAGUAAGCCAAGCUUUGUUGGCCGCACCUGCCAAGCCACAGGGUGCCUCAGGCUUGGAGCAUCCCGGAGCCAGUUACAACCCAAGACUUCAGCCUUCUGGAAGGUGUUGGGUCAGCCACCCUGAAGGACGAUCCUGCCCAAGUGACAUGCUUUGCUCUUCCUUCUCACCCAGGACUUCACAUUCACCCUUGCAAUCCAUGUGGGGACACUGUUGGAUAGGAGGCGUGGUCCCAGCGUGGUCUCCCUGUCUGGGCCUCUGCCUAUGCCAAAUGUUUGCCUUACGCUG